GUUUCUGUAGCUCAAUGGACAGUGCGUUGGAUUUCUAAUCCAAAGGUCGUGGGUUCGAAUCCCACCUGGGGUG
rnacentral:tRNA from 1 species